CCUACGGGAGGCAGCAGUGAGGAAUAUUGGUCAAUGGACGAGAGUCUGAACCAGCCAAGUAGCGUGAAGGAUGACUGCUCUAUGGGUUGUAAACUUCUUUUAUAUGGGAAUAAAAUGUUCCACGUGUGGGAUUUUGUAUGUACCAUAUGAAUAAGGAUCGGCUAACUCCGUGCCAGCAGCCGCGGUAAUACGGAGGAUCCGAGCGUUAUCCGGAUUUAUUGGGUUUAAAGGGAGCGUAGGUGGAUUGUUAAGUCAGUUGUGAAAGUUUGCGGCUCAACCGUAAAAUUGCAGUUGAAACUGGCAGACUUGAGUACAGGAGAGGUAGGCGGAAUUCGUGGUGUAGCGGUGAAAUGCUUAGAGAUCACGAAGAACUCCGAUUGCGAAGGCAGCUCACUGGACUGCAACUGACACUGAGGCUCGAAAGUGUGGGUAUCAAACAGGAUUAGAUACCCUAGUAGUC
rnacentral:rRNA from 1 species